AAGGAUUAAGGCCUGGAUGGAGUAUUAAAGUAACAAAUAUCACAGUUAUUAAAGAUAGUAAGGUUAGUUAUAGACCUGGCUAACCUGGUCUUUGAUUACGAGUACAAAUUUUGAACCGGGCACAAUUUAAAAUGCCCGACUGAUAUGUUUGGUAUGAGGAGUAGAUAAUGUAACGAUUGUUGAUUUCCUGAAUUCUUUAAGCAUGGGUAAAGGUUGAAUGUUUCCGACAGCAAGAUUCUUUCUUUUGGCCUCAAGCAAUCGUAGAA